UGAAUAUCACAGAAUUAACCACCCCCCGAACCAACUGACCGCCUUUGAAAAAAGUUGGGAGGACAGGUCGCGCGCAAGGAUGGGAAGAAACCAAUGAACAAGGUCUCCGUUGGUGAACCAGCGGAGGGAUCAUUGCUGGAACGCGCUUCGGCGCACCCAGAAACCCUUUGUGAACUUAUACCUACUGUUGCCUCGGCGUCAGGCCGGCCCCUUCACUGGGGCCCCCCGGAGACGGGGAGCAGCCCGCCGGCGGCCAACUAAACUCUUGUUUCUAUAGUGAAUCUCUGAGUAAAAAAACAUAAAUGAAUCAAAACUUUCAACAACGGAUCUCUUGGUUCUGGCAUCGAUGAAGAACGCAGCGAAAUGCGAUAAGUAAUGUGAAUUGCAGAAUUCAGUGAAUCAUCGAAUCUUUGAACGCACAUUGCGCCCCCUGGUAUUCCGGGGGGCAUGCCUGUUCGAGCGUCAUUUCAACCCUCAAGCCUGGCUUGGUGAUGGGGCACUGCUUCGAGAGGAGCAGGCCCUGAAAUUCAGUGGCGAGCUCGCCAGGACCCCGAGCGUAGUAGUUAUAUCUCGCUCUGGAAGGCCCUGGCGGUGCCCUGCCGUUAAACCCCCAACUUCUGAAAAUUUGACCUCGGAUCAGGUAGAAUGUCGC
rnacentral:rRNA from 1 species